rnacentral:rRNA from 1 species
UUGAACGCUGGCGGCAGGCCUAACACAUGCAAGUCGAACGGUAACAGGAAGCAGCUUGCUGUUUCGCUGACGAGUGGCGGACGGGUGAGUAAUGUCUGGGAAACUGCCUGAUGGAGGGGGAUAACUACUGGAAACGGUAGCUAAUACCGCAUAACGUCGCAAGACCAAAGAGGGGGACCUUCGGGCCUCUUGCCAUCGGAUGUGCCCAGAUGGGAUUAGCUAGUAGGUGGGGUAACGGCUCACCUAGGCGACGAUCCCUAGCUGGUCUGAGAGGAUGACCAGCCACACUGGAACUGAGACACGGUCCAGACUCCUACGGGAGGCAGCAGUGGGGAAUAUUGCACAAUGGGCGCAAGCCUGAUGCAGCCAUGCCGCGUGUAUGAAGAAGGCCUUCGGGUUGUAAAGUACUUUCAGCGGGGAGGAAGGGAGUAAAGUUAAUACCUUUGCUCAUUGACGUUACCCGCAGAAGAAGCACCGGCUAACUCCGUGCCAGCAGCCGCGGUAAUACGGAGGGUGCAAGCGUUAAUCGGAAUUACUGGGCGUAAAGCGCACGCAGGCGGUUUGUUAAGUCAGAUGUGAAAUCCCCGGGCUCAACCUGGGAACUGCAUCUGAUACUGGCAAGCUUGAGUCUCGUAGAGGGGGGUAGAAUUCCAGGUGUAGCGGUGAAAUGCGUAGAGAUCUGGAGGAAUACCGGUGGCGAAGGCAGCCCCCUGGACGAAGACUGACGCUCAGGUGCGAAAGCGUGGGGAGCAAACAGGAUUAGAUACCCUGGUAGUCCACGCCGUAAACGAUGUCGACUUGGAGGUUGUGCCCUUGAGGCGUGGCUUCCGGAGCUAACGCGUUAAGUCGACCGCCUGGGGAGUACGGCCGCAAGGUUAAAACUCAAAUGAAUUGACGGGGGCCCGCACAAGCGGUGGAGCAUGUGGUUUAAUUCGAUGCAACGCGAAGAACCUUACCUGGUCUUGACAUCCACGGAAGUUUUCAGAGAUGAGAAUGUGCCUUCGGGAACCGUGAGACAGGUGCUGCAUGGCUGUCGUCAGCUCGUGUUGUGAAAUGUUGGGUUAAGUCCCGCAACGAGCGCAACCCUUAUCCUUUGUUGCCAGCGGUCCGGCCGGGAACUCAAAGGAGACUGCCAGUGAUAAACUGGAGGAAGGUGAGGAUGACGUCAAGUCAUCAUGGCCCUUACGACCAGGGCUACACACGUGCUACAAUGGCGCAUACAAAGAGAAGCGACCUCGCGAGAGCAAGCGGACCUCAUAAAGUGCGUCGUAGUCCGGAUUGGAGUCUGCAACUCGACUCCAUGAAGUCGGAAUCGCUAGUAAUCGUGGAUCAGAAUGCCACGGUGAAUACGUUCCCGGGCCUUGUACACACCGCCCGUCACACCAUGGGAGUGGGUUGCAAAAGAAGUAGGUAGCUUAACCUUCGGGAGGGCGCUUACCACUUUGUGAUUCAUGACUGGGGUG